UAACGGAGAAGGCUAAAAAAAGGGUUGAAACGAAAAAGGCUGCACUGCUUUGACAGACUCCAUCCUCUCGUCUUCGUCGUCUUCACGACGACCUGAGAGGCAGCGCCGCUGAACCAAAAAAAACCCUCCCGUUCUGCUUCUUCUUCAGGUUCUAAACACAGAGACCCAAAAUCCAUGGCUUCUUCUUAACAGAGACUAUAUGAAACAGAGAAGCAACGAGAGCUUCUCUUCAGCUUUGACACCCAAAACAAAACCAGAACCUUGAAGACGCCAUCUCCAUCUUCUGUAACAUCAACAGCCGUUGACUCCUCUCCCAUCGCCUCCCAGCUAUCGCCCACUGCUGCUUCAACUUAAGCUACUGUCAUAAAAUGUGCACAUACAGUCACAAAUGAAGAAAAGAGUGACGGGAUAGAGAGAGUCCUGAACGAGAUGUUGUGGUUCCUUUUUUUUGUUCCUUCCGCUAUGGAGUUUAACUGAGGUUCGAGGAUUGAUGCCAGUCGUUGGUUUGAGAUUCCGUCUAAGCGUCCAUUUGUUUAGAGUUUCUGUCGUGGCUGCGGUGUUGAUUUUAUUUGUGUAAUUGCUGAAUACUUAGAGGAAUUGAAACUUCGAUCUUCAGGUACAUGUUGAAUCUCCACAUCAUGUAGAGUUUGGUUGAAAUAAAAUGAAAUGGAAACCUAACUUCAUUGGAAAACUUCAGUAGCUACUAUAUCUUCUUUAUAAUUGAAUGUAAUGGUUUGAAUUGUAAUUAGGACUGUUUGCUUAAGUAAUUUGGAAUGGCUGAAUCUACAGCUUGUAAUAAACUGCCUUGAACUGCUUCAAACCAACUCAAAUUUGUGAUUAUCUAACUGCAAUUCAGUACAAUGGGUGUAUGUGUAGUUUAGUGUUCA